GACGAACCGUCCAAACGUUAUUCGGAAUUACUGGGCUUAAAGGGUGCGUAGGCGGUGUGGUAAGUUGGGUGUGAAAUCCCUCGGCUCAACCGAGGAACUGCGCCCAAAACUACCAUGCUCGAGGGAGACAGAGGUGAGCGGAACUGAUGGUGGAGCGGUGAAAUGCGUUGAUAUCAUCAGGAACACCGGUGGCGAAAGCGGCUCACUGGGUCUCUUCUGACGCUGAGGCACGAAAGCUAGGGGAGCGAACGGG
rnacentral:misc_RNA from 1 species